UCGUUUGUCUAGUUUAUCCACAUUAGAGUGUAAGUCAUGUCAGCUCGGGAAACAUACCCGUGCCUCCUUUCCUCGUAGUAUUGAGAAUCGUGCAGAGUCUGUUUUUUCUUUAGUUCAUUCAGAUAUAUGGGGUCGUAGCAGAGUAUGUUCAACCUUGGGAUUUCGUUAUUUGUUAGUUUCAUUGAUGAUCAUUCAAGAUGUACUUGGAUUUUCUUAAUGAAAGAUCGUUCUGAGUUGUUUUCUAUAUUCCAGAAUUUUUGUGCUGN
rnacentral:lncRNA from 1 species